rnacentral:lncRNA from 1 species
GUCACCAUAAAUUGUCCCCUUUCGGGUUCUCAGUUGGUUGCGGUUUGCGAUUUUACCACCAGAUGCUGCCAGAAAAGUACAUAAAUUACACACUAGGGCUUUAAGGAAUUAAAGAACAUAUAUUAAAAUGUUUUCAUAUUACUUUAUGUGAACAUAAUGCUAUAUCAGUCAACAUCUUUUAAUUGAUGUUGAUACAGGAAGAAGUUUUGGGUAAACUUUCACCAAACCAGAAGGCUGAGCUGAUCCUGAUCCUUGAUCCAAACAGCGGCGCUUUGCAGAAUGAGACCAUCGUACGGGAGGUGUUCAAAAGCUUGAACAAGUCCCACAAUGACGAGCAGCUCGGUCAGUUUUUCCUGGCUUUUACAGUCAUCAACAAGAAGGUGAGUGCUUGAUUUUAAGAUUGCCAUGCUCUCCGAUAUAUAGUUGCCUGCCAAACAGGCCGUGUAAAAGUUGCCCUUUGCUCUGGGAAUGUUUGCAGACGCUAAUAGGUGGCCGAGCCUCGGCUCAAAAUGAUCCCAUCUCUGGAAUGCUUGGUUAAAGUGUUGUUGCGGAUUAUUCCCCAAUCAUGUCCAUCAUGCACCGAAGUCCAAAGACGUGUCCCCAGGCUUGCUUUCAUUUUGACAAUGAGUCAAGAGGGGUGUAAUAUCCUCUUGAACUAAACAGAGAAUCCCUUCACUUGCAGAGAAACAUCACCUUCAUCAAAAAUCCAGCUGUACGAGACACCAUCCUGAACCUGACCCUGACGGCCCUUGCUCCUGAAUUUGAAGACUUUGAGCCUGAAGACUUUGAGCUGUGGUUCCAGGUCAAUUUGGCCACUGUGAUGGCCAGCCUCCAUCCUGGCAGCUUGGCAGUGAUCCCCAGCAACAUCAGCUGUGAAUCCUAUGCAGCUAUGUAAGCCAGGAUAUUUCUCAAGUCCAAAGUCAAACAAUACGUGUUUGCAUGAGGUCAAACUGUGAAUCCAGACGAGUCACAAAAAAUUGUGUUUUCUUCCCUCAGACUCACUGGUCUUCGAAAAAGCUUGAAAUCCCUGCCACUGGACAUUUCAGAUGGUCUGAGAUCGGGCAUAGAGUCAUUCAAGGAGACCUUCCCACGUACGUUGACAUCGUUUUUCAGACAAGCCGAUUACGACUGCUUGUGUUGAUAGCUGCAUUGAUGCCAUGCCUUCUUUCCAUUUUUGCCCCAAACAGGUUGCGCAGUUGCACAUUCCUUGAUGUGCCAGGAGACCCAGGUUGAUG